CCAAUAGCGUAUAUUAAGGUUGCUGCGGUUAAAAAGCUCGUAGUUGAAUUUCGGAAUUGAUGCAUCGGUCGUGCCUUAAGGGGCAUGAACUGGUGUAGCCAAUUUCUCACCUUCUGGUGAAUUGUUGAUGUUCUUAAUGGGUGUCUCAAUGAACUAGAAUUUUUUACUUUGAAAAAAUUAGAGUGUUUAAAGCAGGCAUU
rnacentral:rRNA from 1 species